UACGGGGGGUGCAAACGUUGCUCGGAAUUAUUGGGCGUAAAGCGCACGUAGGCGGUCCUGUAAGUCGGGUGUGAAAGCCCCAGGCUUAACCUGGGAAGUGCACUCGAAACUGCAGGGCUUGAGUAUGGAAGAGGGUCUCGGAAUUCCCGGUGUAGAGGUGAAAUUCGUAGAUAUCGGGAGGAACACCAGUGGCGAAGGCGGAGACCUGGGCCAAUACUGACGCUGAGGUGCGAAAGCGUGGGGAGCAAACAGG
rnacentral:rRNA from 1 species